UCGGAGUGGGCCAGUUGGUCCGCCGCAAGGUGUGUUACUGACUGGUUUGCUCUUCUUCGCAAAGACUGCGUGUGCUCUUUAGUGAGUGUGCGUAGGAUUUACGACGUUUACUUUGAAAAAAUUAGAGUGUUCAAAGCAGGCUAUUGCUUGAAUACAUGAGCAUGGAAUAAUGGAAUAGGACUUUGGUCCCAUUUUGUUGGUUUCUAGGACCGAAGUAAUGAUUAAGAGGGACAAUUGGGGGCAUCCGUAUUUCGUUGACUGAGGUGAAAUUCUUGGAUUUACGAAAGACGAACAACUGCGAAAGCACUUGCCAAGAGUGUUUUCAUUAAUCAAGAACGAAAGUUAGAGGAUCGAAGACGAUCAGAUACCGUCCUAGUUCUAACCAUA
rnacentral:rRNA from 1 species